rnacentral:piRNA from 1 species
UGCCAAAUGCACCCUGGCCAAUUG